CCUACGGGAGGCAGCAGUAGGGAAUAUUGGACAAUGGGUGCGAGCCUGAUCCAGCCAUGCCGCGUGCAGGAAGACGGCCUUCUGGGUUGUAAACUGCUUUUGCCAGGGGAUAAAAAGUCCCUGCGGGGAAAAUUGAAGGUACCUGGUGAAUAAGCCACGGCUAACUACGUGCCAGCAGCCGCGGUAAUACGUAGGUGGCAAGCGUUGUCCGGAUUUAUUGGGUUUAAAGGGUCCGUAGGUGGACCGUUAAGUCAGUGGUGAAAGCCCACAGCUCAACUGUGGAAAUGCCAUUGAUACUGGCGGUCUUGAGUACAAGUGAGGUUGGCGGAAUGUGUGGUGUAGCGGUGAAAUGCUUAGAUAUCACACAGAACACCGAUUGCGAAGGCAGCUGGCCAACUUGUAACUGACACUGAGGGACGAAAGUGUGGGGAUCAAACAGGAUUAGAUACCCUGGUAGUCCACACCGUAAACGAUGAUUACUAGAUUUUGGUCGUAAGAUCAGAGUCCAAGCGAAAGUGUUUAGUAAUCCACCUGGGGAGUACGUCCGCAAGGAUGAAACUCAAAUGAAUUGACGG
rnacentral:rRNA from 1 species